rnacentral:rRNA from 1 species
GAUGAACGCUGGCGGCGUGCCUAAUACAUGCAAGUCGAGCGAACGGACGAGAAGCUUGCUUCUCUGAUGUUAGCGGCGGACGGGUGAGUAACACGUGGAUAACCUACCUAUAAGACUGGGAUAACUUCGGGAAACCGUAGCUAAUACCGGAUAAUAUUUUGAACCGCAUGGUUCAAAAGUGAAAGACGGUCUUGCUGUCACUUAUAGAUGGAUCCGCGCUGCAUUAGCUAGUUGGUAAGGUAACGGCUUACCAAGGCAACGAUGCAUAGCCGACCUGAGAGGGUGAUCGGCCACACUGGAACUGAGACCCGGUCCAGACUCCUACGGGAGGCAGCAGUAGGGAAUCUUCCGCAAUGGGCGAAAGCCUGACGGAGCAACGCCGCGUGAGUGAUGAAGGUCUUCGGAUCGUAAAACUCUGUUAUUAGGGAAGAACAUAUGUGUAAGUAACUGUGCACAUCUUGACGGUACCUAAUCAGAAAGCCACGGCCAACUACGUG